GGAGAAGGCUGUAGCAGAGUUGAAGUGGUGGUCCCAAAGGAGGACAGAUCAAUUCAAGGAUUUGAGUACUAAGUUAGACGAACUCAGACGGGAGUUUCGGGGCUUCCCUUGCUGCACAUCUGAGGACCUUUCCCACACCCAGCAAUAAUACUGCGGCUAUCCUACCCACGGUGACAGCCCCAUUGCUGCCCUCUAGUCCACCUACUCCUACACCAGCAACUCCACCUACACCAGCACCAAUGACAACACCGCUGCUGUCCUCGUGCACUAUUAUGCCGCAGUUUCAACCUUCCGUCUUGCCUCUGUUGCAACAUUGUGAUCCUACGGCUGCUGCGGACCAUGCCAAACUCUUGGUUUCUUCUGGUCCGCCUACAACAACCAUGGUGUCAACACCACGGUUGUCCUCCAGCCCCAAUAUUCAGCUUCAGCCUUUGCGUGGUUUAGUUUUGGCUGCUGCCCACCAGUCUAUGCAGUCGAUAGUUUCCCUUCCGGACCCCCCAUAUGCAGCAGUUGACGCUCCAUUCUCCCAUCAGGCCAUGUUGUUAUUCCUUCAUAUAGUUGGCCAUCUUCUAUGGUUCAAUGCUCUGGCUACUACCCAAAAGUAUGAGUCUGAACCUCCACCAGACGAAGUACUUAGGGUCCAGAUUUAGACCUCAGGCUGAGGGCAAGGCUGUUUUGAGGGUGAGGCAGUUGAUACGGAUUGGAGGAGGGGGAGAGAGAAAGAUGGUUGGGCCGGCAGAGAGAAAGGAGGAAGCAUGUGGAGAAGAUUAAGGGAGAGAGCUGAUUCCUAUUUUUAUGCUUUUCAAUAUUUGUUAUUCGGUUUCCUUUAUUUUAGCACUAGAAUUGCCUAUAUAUAGAGAGAGUCUCCUAAUAGAGAGAUCAUCUUGGAUAGAUCAUUUUGUAUUGGACGACUUGGUCGUAGGCCUCUGCGGAGGAGUGUUAUUUUCCUUACUUUCUAUUCAAUCAAAGUGGUCAUUUCUUACAUUAUUGCAAUUACAAACCAUUGACUCAAAUCAGGGAGCAUCUCUCGUGCUCUCUUCUCGCCUUUCACUCCUAUCACAUGACUACUACAUUUGUACCCUUCCAGAAAACCUUAAACCAGGAAAAUUAUCAAAGCUUGGUAUUGGAGCAAAGCAUCUCUCUUCUGGAUUGCUUGAGAUCAUGUUGCUUUGGCUCAUGAAUCUUACAUCUUAGCAAGAACAAAUUUCCAUAGAUUCUUCUUAAUUAUUGGAAGAAAUCGACUUGUUAGAAGCAUUGUUUUUUAAAUGUUUUUCUGGAAGGAGAAGGGGCUGCUACAUAUUUAACCACAGAGCGCAGGAAGAGCUCUUACAGAGUACUGCUUCUGAGAUCACUCGUCGAUAUUAUGAAUUAGCUUCAGACAUUUCAUGCGGGACGCAACUCGCAAGAUGAUGUUUCAUGGAGUACUUCGCAGUAGUUGUUGUGGCUGCACUUAAGAAGAUCUGUGAUUGCUGUUUCGUUUUUGGGGAGAUCACCUACAACCUGACACUCAUUGACAGGCCAGGAAAACAGAGUCCUCACUUCAGAAAAUACGUUUGGGUGCACAAAGACGAGCUGGAGCAAGUUCAGGCGUGUCGGACAAUAACAUUCUGAUACAGACAAGAUAUGCAUGCAGUUAUUUCUUGAUAUUCAGGAAUAUGGCCGUAACCUUGCUUCCCCUCGGGGUUGAUGCUACAUCUACACCAGCGUAUCAUUCCUCGUGGCAGUAUGUUUCCCCUUUGGAGAGUCAAAGCAUUCUAGUUCAGAGUUUCGACAAAAGAUGCAUAUGCUAGGAAGCGUGGACCAUAGCGGCCAAGAUAUACGAAUAUUUUUGUCCUUCAUUUGAGCCUUUCUUCGAGUAGGAUUAGCAGCAGCAAAACAUGAUUUACAGUUGACAAGCUGUCGAAGCCAUCUUAUACUGAUCAAAAGUUAUCACAUACUAAUAUCCAGAACCAGAUAUACAUACACCAAGCAAGAUACAGAAUCAAAAUUAAGUUAUGGAGACACUAGUGUUUUCCCUGUUUUUGGAUCAACAUUUGGCGUCGCCUGAACUUGAGCUGCAUACUGCAAGUUCCAGAGAACA